GCGGCUUGCUGGCCCCGCUCUGACGCUGAGGUGCGAAAGUCAGGGUAACAAACGGGAUUAGAUACCCCGGUAGUCCUGACCGUAAACGAUGUGCACUAGGUUGAAGGUUUUGACGAACUUUCGGCCAAAAUGAAAACAUUAAGUGCACCGCCUGGGAAGUACGGUCGCAAGGCUAAAACUCAAAGGAAUUGACGGGGGCUCACACAAGCGGUGGAGCAUGUUGCUCAAUUCGAUGCAACGCGAAGAACCUUAUCCUGGGCUUGACAUGUUCGGGUGCCUUCUGCGGAAACGUGAAAGGCUGCCUUCGGGUGAAACGUUCACAGGUGCUGCAUGGCUGUCGUCAGCUCGUGUCGUGAGAUGUUGGGUUGAGUCCCGUAACGAGCGAAACCCUUGUCACUAGUUGCCAGCGCGUAAUGGCGGGGACUCUAGUGAGACUGCCGGUGUUAAACCGGAGGAAGGUGGGGAUGACGUCAAGUCCUCAUGGCCUUUAUGCCCAGGGCUGCAAACGUGCCACAAUGGCGUGUACAAACCGACGCGAGACCGAGAGGUGGAGCAAAUCGGUAAAAGCACGCCUCAGUUCGGAUUGGAGUCUGCAACUCGACUCCAUGAAGUCGGAAUCGCUAGUA
rnacentral:rRNA from 1 species